GACGGCGGAUGCAAGUGUUAUCCGGAAUCACUGGGCGUAAAGCGUCUGUAGGUGGUCAAAUAAGUCACCUGUUAAUUCUUGAGGCUCAACCUCAAAAUCGCAGUCGAAACUAUUAGACUAGAGUAUAGUAGGGGUAAAGGGAAUUUCCAGUGGAACGGUGAAAUGCGUAGAGAUUGGAAAGAACACCGAUGGCGAAGGCACUUUACUGGGCUAUUACUAACACUGAGAGACGAAAGCUAGGGUAGCAAAUGGG
rnacentral:rRNA from 1 species